CAACUCGACUACAUGAAGCUGGAAUCGCUAGUAAUCGCGGAUCAGAAUGCCGCGGUGAAUACGUUCCCGGGUCUUGUACACACCGCCCGUCACACCAUGGGAGUCAGUAACGCCCGAAGCCGGUGACCCAACCAGGAAUGGAGGGAGCCGUCGAAGGCGGGAUUGGUAACUGGGGGUGAAGUCGUAACAAGGUACC
rnacentral:rRNA from 1 species